rnacentral:other from 1 species
UGGGCCCUGCGGUGCGCGUGAUUGGUCGAGGAAGUUUUGAGCCGACACUCAAAAUUAUAGGAGCCCUGUCUCGAGCGCUUCCAAGUGGCAGUCUCGGUUUGCCGAGAAAUCGCGAGGAACGCCGGGGGGCACCGCCCUGGUUCGCUGGGGUUCAAAAACUCGGUAGACACACGGCACAUGCGGGGCUCUG